rnacentral:tRNA from 1 species
GGGGCUGUAGCUCAGCUGGGAGAGCACCUGCUUUGCAAGCA